GACGUAGGGCGCGAGCGUUUGUCCGGAUUUAUUGGGCGUAAAGAGCUCGUAGGCGGUCUGUUGCGUCCGCUGUGAAAACUCGGGGGCUUAACCCCGAGCCUGCAGUGGAUACGGGCAGACUAGAGGUAGGUAGGGGAGAAUGGAAUUCCCGGUGUAGCGGUGAAAUGCGCAGAUAUCGGGAGGAACACCGAUAGUGAAGACAGCUUACUAGGCUGCAACUGACGCUGAGGCACGAAAGUGUGGGGGAUCAAACAGG
rnacentral:rRNA from 1 species